GCAAACUUGGUCAUUUAGAGGAAGUAAAAGUCGUAACAAGGUUUCCGUAGGUGAACCUGCGGAAGGAUCAUUAAUGGGUUUUUGCUUGUGAAGGGCUGUAGCUGGCCAAUUGGCAUGUGCACGCCUGGAUCAUACGCAAUCCACCUCUCUCUCACACCCACACCUGUGCACAACUGUAGCUUAUGGGUUGGAUUGCAAAAUGUUUAAUCGCAGACUGCCCGUUUGGCUACGUACUUUUUUUCUAUACACGCGCACCCUGUAAUGUUCUUGUGGAAUGCAGAUUGUAUGCGAUAUAACAACUUUCAGCAACGGAUCUCUUGGCUCUCGCAUCGAUGAAGAACGCAGC
rnacentral:misc_RNA from 1 species